GCAGUCGACGAGACCCUGGAGCUUGCUCCAGGUGACAGUGGCAGACGGGUGAGUAACGCGUGGCAACCUACCCUUCGGUGGGGGACAACAGUUGGAAACGACUGCUAAUACCCCAUACGUCCUCCGGGAGAAAGAUUCAUCGCCGAUGGAUGGGGCCGCGUUAGAUUAGCUAGAUGGUGGGGUAAUGGCCUACCAUGGCGACGAUCUAUAGCGGGUCUGAGAGGAUGAUCCGCCACACUGGGACUGAGACACGGCCCAGACUCCUACGGGAGGCAGCAGUAGGGAAUAUUGGACAAUGGGCGAAAGCCUGAUCCAGCCAUGCCGCGUGAAUGAUGAAGGCCUUAGGGUUGUAAAAUUCUUUCGCUAGGGAAGAUAAUGACUGUACCUAGUAAAGAAGCCCCGGCUAACUCCGUGCCAGCAGCCGCGGUAAUACGGAGGGGGCAAGCGUUGUUCGGAAUUACUGGGCGUAAAGCGUGCGUAGGCGGAUCAGAAAGUAUGGGGUGAAAUCCCAGGGCUCAACCCUGGAACUGCCUCAUAAACUUCUGGUCUUGAGUUCUGGAGAGGUAAGUGGAAUUCCUAGUGUAGAGGUGAAAUUCGUAGAUAUUAGGAGGAACACCAGAGGCGA
rnacentral:rRNA from 1 species